UACGUAGGUGGCAAGCGUUUGUCCGGAUUUAUUGGGUUUAAAGGGUGCGUAGGCGGUCCUGUAAGUCAGUUGUGAAAUACGGCAGCUUAACUGUCGAGGUGCAAUUGAUACUGCGGGACUAGAGUACUGAUGAGGUAAGCGGAAUGGACGGUGUAGCGGUGAAAUGCUUAGAUAUCGUCCAGAACACCGAUAGCGAAGGCAGCUUACUAAGGAGUAACUGACGCUGAGGCACGAAAAGUGUGGGGGAUCAAAACAGG
rnacentral:rRNA from 1 species